rnacentral:tmRNA from 1 species
GGGGCCGACCGGUUUUGACAGCAUAGGGCAGGGUCUGUAAGCAUGUCGUGCGUUGUGUAAUUAGCACGUAAAUCUGAAUACUCAAACCAUAUAAGGCGAAUAUUCUUACGCCAUGGCUGCCUAAUCAGAGAUUAGACACCCUUUAUAGCCGCCGGGAAGGUUGCCUGUGACCGUCCCCGCCGCCGAAUCAACAAAAUACGGGAUAGGUUGUGCAACGCUGUGAUGUACGAAUGAAAAUCAAAACAGAUAGGGAAGGGGUAGGUAUGUUCCUGUCCGGCUUCGUCCCGAGACCCAAUCAGGAAAUACACAUGUAGAAAGCUUAUCGGGCAUAUGUUUGGACGCGGGUUCGACUCCCGCCGGCUCCACAA